GGCCCUUUCCAUGUUGGGGUGGGCCCCCAAGACACAGGUUGCUUGCAUGGGCUGUUCGUUCCGGCCUCUUUUUCGUGAAAAUUGUUGGGGUUUAGUUCCCCGCAAACGAAGCGCAAACCCCUUACCCCUUUAAGUUUGCCAUUCAGGGUUUUGGCUGGGCACUCUAAAGGGGAACCCGCCCGGGGGUCAAGCCGGAGGAAGGCGGGGAUGACGUCAAGUCCUCCAUGGCCCUUAUGGGCUGGGCUACACACGUGCUACAAUGGCGCCUACAGUGGGCAGCGAGAGGGCGACCUCGAGCGAAUCUCCAAAAGGCGUCCCAGUUCGGAUUGUGCUCUGCAACUCGAGCGCAUGAAGGUGGAAUCGCUAGUAAUCGCGGAUCAGCAUGCCGCGGUGAAUACGUUCCCGGGCCUUGUACACACCGCCCGUCACACCAUGGGAGUUGGUUCUACCCGAAGACGGUCAGCGAACCGCAAGGACGCGGCCGGCCACGGUAGGGUCAGCGACUGGGGUGAAGUCGUAACAAGGUAG
rnacentral:rRNA from 1 species